rnacentral:rRNA from 1 species
UUAGUUGGUGGGGUAAAAGCCUACCAAGGCCACGAUCGGUAGCUGGUCUGAGAGGACGAUCAGCCACACUGGGAUUGAGAACGGCCCAGACUCCUACGGGGGGCAGCAGUGAGGAAUUUUCGGCAAUGGGGGCAACCCUGACCGAGCAACGCCGCGUGCAGGAAGAAGGUUUUCGGAUCGUAAACUGCUUUUCUCUGGGACGAGCAAGGACGGUACCAGAGGAAGAAGCCCCGGCUAACUACGUGCCAGCAGCCGCGGUAAUACGUAGGGGGCGAGCGUUGUCCGGAGUUACUGGGCGUAAAGCGCACGCAGGCGGUCGUGUCAGUUUGGGGUUACAGCUCCCGGCUCAACCGGGAGAGCGCCUCGAAGACGGCAGGACUUGAGGGCCAGAGAGGGACACAGAAUUCCGGGUGGAGUGGUGAAAUGCGUAGAUAUCCGGAGGAAUACCAAAGGCGAAGGCAGUGUCCUGGCUGGCAGCUGACGCUGAGGUGCGAAAGCUAGGGGAGCGAACGGGAUUAGAUACCCCGGUAGUCCUAGCCGUAAACGAUGACCACUAGGUGUGCGGGGUAUCGACCCCCUGCGUGCCGGAGCUAACGCACUAAGUGGUCCGCCUGGGGAGUACGGUCGCAAGAUUAAAACUCAAAGGAAUUGACG